rnacentral:rRNA from 3 species
GGGUUGUGAGGUUAAGCGACUAAGCGUACACGGUGGAUGCCCUGGCAGUCAGAGGCGAUGAAGGGCGUACUAAUCUGCGAUAAGCGCCGGUAAGGUGAUAUGAACCGUUAUAACCGGCGAUACCCGAAUGGGGAAACCCAGUGUGAUUCGUCACACUAUCAUUAACUGAAUCCAUAGGUUAAUGAGGCGAACCGGGGGAACUGAAACAUCUAAGUACCCCGAGGAAAAGAAAUCAACCGAGAUUCCCCCAGUAGCGGCGAGCGAACGGGGAGGAGCCCAGAGCCUGAAUCAGCAUGUGUGUUAGUGGAAGCGUCUGGAAAGGCGCGCGAUACAGGGUGACAGCCCCGUACACAAAAGCGCAUGUGCUGUGAGCUCGAUGAGUAGGGCGGGACACGUGGUAUCCUGUCUGAAUAUGGGGGGACCAUCCUCCAAGGCUAAAUACUCCUGACUGACCGAUAGUGAACCAGUACCGUGAGGGAAAGGCGAAAAGAACCCCGGCGAGGGGAGUGAAAAAGAACCUGAAACCGUGUACGUACAAGCAGUGGGAGCACAGGUUUACCUGUGUGACUGCGUACCUUUUGUAUAAUGGGUCAGCGACUUAUAUUCUGUAGCAAGGUUAACCGAAUAGGGGAGCCGGAGGGAAACCGAGUCUUAAUUGGGCGUUAAGUUGCAGGGUAUAGACCCGAAACCCGGUGAUCUAGCCAUGGGCAGGUUGAAGGUUGGGUAACACUAACUGGAGGACCGAACCGACUAAUGUUGAAAAAUUAGCGGAUGACCUGUGGCUGGGGGUGAAAGGCCAAUCAAACCGGGAGAUAGCUGGUUCUCCCCGAAAGCUAUUUAGGUAGCGCCUCGUGAAUUCAUCUCCGGGGGUAGAGCACUGUUUCGGCUAGGGGGCCAUCCCGGCUUACCAACCCGAUGCAAACUGCGAAUACCGGAGAAUGUUAUCACGGGAGACACACGGCGGGUGCUAACGUCCGUCGUGAAGAGGGAAACAACCCAGACCGCCAGCUAAGGUCCCAAAGUCAUGGUUAAGUGGGAAACGAUGUGGGAAGGCCCAGACAGCCAGGAUGUUGGCUUAGAAGCAGCCAUCAUUUAAAGAAAGCGUAAUAGCUCACUGGUCGAGUCGGCCUGCGCGGAAGAUGUAACGGGGCUAAACCAUGCACCGAAGCUGCGGCAGCGACACUGUGUGUUGUUGGGUAGGGGAGCGUUCUGUAAGCCUGUGAAGGUGUGUCGUGAGGCAUGCUGGAGGUAUCAGAAGUGCGAAUGCUGACAUAAGUAACGAUAAAGCGGGUGAAAAGCCCGCUCGCCGGAAGACCAAGGGUUCCUGUCCAACGUUAAUCGGGGCAGGGUGAGUCGACCCCUAAGGCGAGGCCGAAAGGCGUAGUCGAUGGGAAACGGGUUAAUAUUCCCGUACUUGGUGUUACUGCGAAGGGGGGACGGAGAAGGCUAUGUUGGCCGGGCGACGGUUGUCCCGGUUUAAGCGUGUAGGUGUGUGUUCCAGGUAAAUCCGGUUCACUUUAACACUGAGGCGUGACGACGAGGCACUACGGUGCUGAAGCAACAAAUGCCCUGCUUCCAGGAAAAGCCUCUAAGCAUCAGGUAACAUCAAAUCGUACCCCAAACCGACACAGGUGGUCAGGUAGAGAAUACCAAGGCGCUUGAGAGAACUCGGGUGAAGGAACUAGGCAAAAUGGUGCCGUAACUUCGGGAGAAGGCACGCUGACACGUAGGUGAAGUGAUUUACUCAUGGAGCUGAAGUCAGUCGAAGAUACCAGCUGGCUGCAACUGUUUAUUAAAAACACAGCACUGUGCAAACACGAAAGUGGACGUAUACGGUGUGACGCCUGCCCGGUGCCGGAAGGUUAAUUGAUGGGGUCAGCGCAAGCGAAGCUCCUGAUCGAAGCCCCGGUAAACGGCGGCCGUAACUAUAACGGUCCUAAGGUAGCGAAAUUCCUUGUCGGGUAAGUUCCGACCUGCACGAAUGGCGUAAUGAUGGCCAGGCUGUCUCCACCCGAGACUCAGUGAAAUUGAACUCGCUGUGAAGAUGCAGUGUACCCGCGGCAAGACGGAAAGACCCCGUGAACCUUUACUAUAGCUUGACACUGAACAUUGAGCCUUGAUGUGUAGGAUAGGUGGGAGGCUUUGAAGUGUGGACGCCAGUCUGCAUGGAGCCGACCUUGAAAUACCACCCUUUAAUGUUUGAUGUUCUAACGUGGACCCGUUACCCGGGUUGCGGACAGUGUCUGGUGGGUAGUUUGACUGGGGCGGUCUCCUCCUAAAGAGUAACGGAGGAGCACGAAGGUUGGCUAAUCCUGGUCGGACAUCAGGAGGUUAGUGCAAUGGCAUAAGCCAGCUUGACUGCGAGCGUGACGGCGCGAGCAGGUGCGAAAGCAGGUCAUAGUGAUCCGGUGGUUCUGAAUGGAAGGGCCAUCGCUCAACGGAUAAAAGGUACUCCGGGGAUAACAGGCUGAUACCGCCCAAGAGUUCAUAUCGACGGCGGUGUUUGGCACCUCGAUGUCGGCUCAUCACAUCUGGGGCUGAAGUAGGUCCCAAGGGUAUGGCUGUUCGCCAUUUAAAGUGGUACGCGAGCUGGGUUUAGAACGUCGUGAGACAGUUCGGUCCCUAUCUGCCGUGGGCGCUGGAGAACUGAGGGGGGCUGCUCCUAGUACGAGAGGACCGGAGUGGACGCAUCACUGGUGUUCGGGUUGUCAUGCCAAUGGCACUGCCCGGUAGCUAAAUGCGGAAGAGAUAAGUGCUGAAAGCAUCUAAGCACGAAACUUGCCCCGAGAUGAGUUCUCCCUGAGACUUAAAGUCUCCUGAAGGAACGUUGAAGACGACGACGUUGAUAGGCCGGGUGUGUAAGCGCAGCGAUGCGUUGAGCUAACCGGUACUAAUGAACCGUGAGGCUUAACCUUACAACGCCGAAG